UGGGGAGUUUUGGACAAUGGGGGAAACCCUGAUCCAGCCAUCCCGCGUGUGCGAUGAAGGCCUUCGGGUUGUAAAGCACUUUUGGCAGGAAAGAAACGUCAUGGGUUAAUACCCCGUGAAACUGACGGUACCUGCAGAAUAAGCACCGGCUAACUACGUGCCAGCAGCCGCGGUAAUACGUAGGGUGCAAGCGUUAAUCGGAAUUACUGGGCGUAAAGCGUGCGCAGGCGGUUCGGAAAGAAAGAUGUGAAAUCCCAGAGCUCAACUUUGGAACUGCAUUUUUAACUACCGGGCUAGAGUGUGUCAGAGGGAGGUGGAAUUCCGCGUAUAGCAGUGAAAUGCGUAGAUAUGCGGAGGAACACCGAUGGCGAAGGCAGCCUCCUGGGAUAACACUGACGCUCAUGCACGAAAGCGUGGGGAGCAAACAGG
rnacentral:rRNA from 1 species